rnacentral:snRNA from 1 species
UAUAAUCAAGUGAAUAGUUUAA